rnacentral:rRNA from 1 species
GUAACCUACGGGGGGCAGCAGUGGGGGAUAUUGCACAAUGGGGGAAACCCUGAUGCAGCAACGCCGCGUGAGGGAAGACGGUUUUCGGAUUGUAAACCUCUGUCAUCGGUGACGAAAAGGACGGUAGCCGAUGAGGAAGCUCCGGCUAACUACGUGCCAGCAGCCGCGGUAAUACGUAGGGAGCGAGCGUUGUCCGGAAUUACUGGGUGUAAAGGGUGCGUAGGCGGGAGCGCAAGUCAGACGUGAAACCUACCGGCUUAACUGGUAGCCUGCGUUUGAAACUGCGAUUCUUGAGUGAAGUAGAG